GUUUGUUUUAUUUUUG
rnacentral:sRNA from 1 species